rnacentral:misc_RNA from 1 species
CAAUCUAUGUAGAACACCCACGUCCCAUUAAGCCCCCUACUGAGUAAGCUCUUCCACCAUCUCAGCCUUUGAAACUAACAAAGAAAGAGUAGAAGAAGCUCCAUACUCAACACCAUUUGGCUCGGGGAAUAGAUAGACAGGAGAUGAAUAGGCAAGGUUUGAUUGAACCCCCAAAGCCUAAAGUGAAAAUGAGUAAUUUAAUGAAAGUCCUUGGCUCUGAAGCUACAUAAGAUCCCACAAAACUUGAGAAGGAAAUAUGUAGUGCAGCUGCUGAGCAUGAGCAAGCUUAUAUUGACAG